GACGAAGGGGGCUAGCGUUGUUCGGAAUUACUGGGCGUAAAGCGCGUGUAGGCGGUUGUCCAAGUUGGAUGUGAAAGCCUUGAGCUUAGCUCAAGAAAUGCAUUCAGGACUGGAUGACUAGAGGACCGGAGAGGAUAGUGGAAUUCCCAGUGUAGUGGUGAAAUACGUAGAGAUUGGGAAGAACACCAGUGGCGAAGGCGGCUAUCUGGCCCGUUACCGACGCUCAGGCGCGACAGCGUGGGGAGCAAACAGG
rnacentral:rRNA from 1 species